rnacentral:rRNA from 1 species
ACGGGUGAGUAACGCGUGGGUAACCUACCCUGUACACACGGAUAACAUACCGAAAGGUAUGCUAAUACGGGAUAAUAUAUUUGAGAGGCAUCUCUUAAAUAUCAAAGGUGAGCCAGUACAGGGUGGACCCGCGUCUGAUUAGCUAGUUGGUAAGGCAACGGCUUACCAAGGCGACGAUCAGUAGCCGACCUGAGAGGGUGAUCGGCCACAUUGGAACUGAGACACGGUCCAAACUCCUACGGGAGGCAGCAGUGGGGAAUAUUGCACAAUGGGCGAAAGCCUGAUGCAGCAACGCCGCGUGAGUGAUGAAGGCCUUCGGGUCGUAAAACUCUGUCCUCAAGGAAGAUAAUGACGGUACUUGAGGAGGAAGCCCCGGCUAACUACGUGCCAGCAGCCGCGGUAAUACGUAGGGGGCUAGCGUUAUCCGGAUUUACUGGGCGUAAAGGGUGCGUAGGCGGUCUUUCAAGUCAGGAGUGAAAGGCUACGGCUCAACCGUAGUAAGCUCUUGAAACUGGGAGACUUGAGUGCAGGAGAGGAGAGUGGAAUUCCUAGUGUAGCGGUGAAAUGCGUAGAUAUUAGGAGGAACACCUGUUGCGAAGGCGGCUCUCUGGACUGUAACUGACGCUGAGGCACGAAAGCGUGGGGAGCAAACAGGAUUAGAUACCCUGGUAGUCCACGCUGUAAACGAUGAGUACUAGGUGUCGGGGGUUACCCCCUUCGGUGCCGCAGCUAACG